rnacentral:rRNA from 1 species
UACGAAGGGGGCAAGCGUUGUUCGGAAUUACUGGGCGUAAAGGGCGCGUAGGCGGUGCACUAAGUCAGGCGUGAAAGCCCUGGGCUCAACCCGGGAAUUGCGCUUGAUACUGGUGCGCUUGAAUCCAGGAGAGGUUGGUGGAAUUCCCAGUGUAGAGGUGAAAUUCGUAAGAGAUUGGGAAGAACACCGGUGGCGAAGGCGGC